rnacentral:tRNA from 1 species
UCCCUGGCAGUCCAGCAGUUAAGACUCUGCACUUCUACAGCAGGAGAUGCAGGUUCAAUCCCUGAUCAGGGAA